CUUUGCUUCCUGCUGUACAGACUGCUGCCACACUGGCUGGCUAGGUCGCUCUCUAAAAGGUCUGGGCCUCUUACUCCAUUGGGGUCUACAUCGUUUCUGCUCAGUGUCUCCACAGAGCAGAGAGAGAAGAGAGCAAUUUCCUGUUUGUUCAUGCUUAUAUACUGUUACUGCCUACAUCAUCAUUUCCUGGUUGGAUCACAUGGAGACUUCUCUUUACUACAUGUCCCAGGAUUCUCCUUGCCUCCUAGUCCCACCUAGCUUGCUUCACUAUUGGCCAACAAUGCUGUAUUCAACAAGCAAUAAGAUAAACAUAUGUACAGAAGAUUUCUCCCAUCAGAGAAGUUAUGUAUCCAUUCUAAAUUUUUGUCUAAGAAACUGAAGUUUUAACUUUACUGAAUCUGAAAAAAACUUUAUUGAGAGUAUAGAAAUUUUUGCUAGAAUAUAGACCUGCAUUCUUUAAAGAGCCUCUGUGAACGGAAAAGAAAAAUGGGAAAAUUAUAGGACUAAAGCAAGUUAAAAUAAGAUAAAUUGCAAUUUGUAAUUUGGUUGACACAAAGAAGUAUAAAAAUGUUUAAAUAUUAACUGAAUUAAAAGUAACCCUUCAUCCAGUGGCUGAUGGAAGCAGAGGCAGACACCCACAGCUAUACACUGAACUGAACUCAGGAACCCAUUUUCAGAGAGGGAGGAGUGAUGAGCAAAGAGGUGAAGUCUGGGCUGGUGAAACCCACAGAAACAGCUGAUCUGAUCAAGGGGGAGCACAUGGACCCCAGACUGAUGGCUGGGAGACCAGCAUGGGACUGAUCCAGAUCCCUGAACAUGGAUGUCAGUGAGGAGGCCUUGGCACUCUAUGUAGUAGAUAAUUAUUUAUCUAUGAUAUACGAAAGAAUUUUGGAAGCCCAUCCCACAUGGAAGGAUGCUCUCUCAUCCUGACACAUGGCGAGGGACUAAGCCCUACCCAGGAUGAUAUGACAGACUUCGGGGAUCACCCAUGGAGGGCCUUACCUUCCCUGGGGACCAGAGGUGAGAUGGUGUGGGGGAUUGUUGCGGGGAAGGGAGAAGGGAACAAGGAUUGACAUGUAAAGCAGGCUUGUUUCUAAUUUGUACUAAUAAAAAGUAAAUAAAUUAAUUUUUUAAAAAGUAACACUAUCAGUGUUUGUAAGUAGGCAAUAAAUACAUCUUAU
rnacentral:lncRNA from 1 species